UAAUACGAAGGGUGCAAACGUUAUUCGGAGUUAUUGGGCGUAAAGAGCGUGUAGGCGGUUUGUUAAGUUGAUUGUUAAAUAUCCCGGCCUAACCGGGAAAAUGCAAUCAAAACUGGCAAGACUAGAGGGCAGGAGAGAGAAGUGGAAUUCUCGGAGUAGCGGUAAAAUGCGUAGAUCUCGAGAGGAACACCGAUUGCGAAGGCAGCUUCUUGGCCUGUGCCUGACGCUGAGACGCGAAAGCGUGGGGAGCAAACAGG
rnacentral:rRNA from 1 species